GACAACACACUGUGUUAAAUCGCCAAAGUUUAUAACAAGAUGAAUCAAGGUGGAGGCUGGGAAAAGAGAGAGAUAAAAAGCAAGCAUGUGCUUUUUGCGAUUCUCCAAAUAACUGAAGAAAUGUGUGAACAAGGGAAUAUUUUGUCAUUUUUUUUCACAGCAAACGUAAAGGAGAUUGUGAUCUUCCACAGGUGACUGCUGAAAGAAAGUUCACAGUGCAGGCUCCAGCAGAGCCACGGAAGGAGAGAGACAGGGCAACGGGAAGGGAAGGUGCUCCACGUGCAGACCUGUUGAAAUGUAUGUGUGCAAACUCCCCCUAAUUUAUGUAAAUACGGAGGCGGAAGAGUUUCACUUCAUUGUUACAAAUUAAAAGUUCCCUGACAUUUCCAAUUAGCUGGAGAGAAAAGCAACGCAACUAUAAAUACAUCACAAAGCCAGCAAGUCUGCUCUGGCAUAAACAGCACGCUCCCAUCGCGACACCAAACGGUGAGGCUCCAAGGCGUGCUUGUUGCAGCAGAGAUUAAUGGCACGGUGGCCGGUUGCCCUGGGAAGCCACAGCCUGAGGAGGAGAAAUUUAAAUGCUGUGUCCAGUCCUGAUCUUGAACAGCCAUAUUUAGCAAUAUUUGAUAAAAGUUGCUGUGGAGAGACUGAAAACCACUGUGCUCCCACACACAGCUGAGCGGCUGCACUUCUGCCAAGGCCGAACAUAAAAUUAGGAAAGGAGAGAUCAGCUGAUAAGCAGUUGCUGUUCAUUAUGGGAAAUUACAGCUUUCAUGUCAUGAUAAACGCCUGUCAGCUCCAAACCAGAGACCUGUUGCAUCCAAAUACCUUGCCUAAGUGGGUGGAUAGUCUUAAAUGCACUCCAAACCAUUCCUCUUUCUAGCAGCAAUUGCUGCUGCUGUUCUCGGUGUCUGGGGACAGACAGUGGCACAGGGAGGGCGGGCAGGACACGCUCUCCUCUGCUCUGCUUCCCCUGCGACCGCCAGUGCCUGCUAUGGCAGCACCAAGAGGUGACUUUCUCUAAACCACCACAGCACAUUCACCAGUGAACAGCAACCACCCCGAGGUUCGUCCUCAUCCAGGGGAGCAAAAUUUUCGUUGCAGAGAUGGAAGAUGGCCACUGAAUUGAAUACAGUGGGCAAGUUCUGGAAGGUGCACUGCCUUUCCAAGGCUGAACGUGCAUGCUGCUCCUAAUAGCUCUGCCAGAAGCAUUUCUGUCACUAGGCUUUGGUUUGUGUUACAAAGGGUGUCCCCUUUUACAGGCAUGGCAAAUGGAGGCAAGAGGCACAUGAAGCAGCCUGAGAACACUAGAUUAGGGAAAAAUGAGUGAUGUAACCCAAGCCCCGGAGUCCCAUUCUGUGUCCAAGUACUAAAAGGGCUUUGCCAUCCUUGCCUCUUUCAUUUAUUACCAGUGUAUUGUGUUCCUGCAAGAGAGUCCUAUUUCAGAAGAAUCAUCCAUCUGAAGACAAUCACCUCUGUUGGGGUCUCCCAGGCCAUUGUCCAUCCUAAUGCAGAAGUUAUACUCUGGCAGGCCAAGACGAUGCUUUCCAUUGAAAGGGCUCAAACCAAUGAAUUUCUGAUUAAGACUAAACUGUGAUGCAUGAAAGUUUUGCUUGUGUUUGUUUCCCAAGGACUCCUCAGUUGUUUUCCCUGGCCCUCUUUGUCUAGACAAAAGUAAAACGCUCCCUGUAUAACUCACUGAUGGCAGACUCAGAGCCUUCGGUGGGCAUUUGGGCAAACUAAGGUGAGGGAAACUCCAACAGGUCACAGAGGUACCAUCUAGGGAGGAUGAUCUCACCGAUUUAGGAAGAAGACACCUGGACUUCACAGCACAUGCUCUGGAAAGAGCAGACACCAUGAAGAAGACCAUGUACUUUAUCCCUCGACC